AGUGAACGCUGGCGGUAGGCCUAACACAUGCAAGUCGAACGGCAGCACAGUAAGAGCUUGCUCUUACGGGUGGCGAGUGGCGGACGGGUGAGGAAUACAUCGGAAUCUACUUUUUCGUGGGGGAUAACGUAGGGAAACUUACGCUAAUACCGCAUACGACCUACGGGUGAAAGCAGGGGAUCUUCGGACCUUGCGCGAUUGAAUGAGCCGAUGUCGGAUUAGCUAGUUGGCGGGGUAAAGGCCCACCAAGGCGACGAUCCGUAGCUGGUCUGAGAGGAUGAUCAGCCACACUGGAACUGAGACACGAUCCAGACUCCUACGGGAGGCAGCAGUGGGGAAUAUUGGACAAUGGGCGCAAGCCUGAUCCAGCCAUACCGCGUGGGUGAAGAAGGCCUUCGGGUUGUAAAGCCCUUUUGUUGGGAAAGAAAAGCAGCAGGUUAAUACCCCGCUGUUCUGACGGUACCCAAAGAAUAAACACCGGCUAACUUCGU
rnacentral:rRNA from 1 species